rnacentral:rRNA from 1 species
UACGUAGGGGGCUAGCGUUGUCCGGAUUUAUUGGGCGUAAAGAGCGUGUAGGCGGCCAAAUAGGUCCGGUGUGAAAACUCGAGGCUUAACCUCGAGAUGUCAUCGGAAACCAUUUGGCUAGAGUCCGGAAGAGGAAAGUGGAAUUCCUGGUGUAGCGGUGAAAUGCGCAGAUAUCAGGAAGAACACCAAUGGCGAAAGCAGCUUUCUGGGACGGUACUGACGCUGAGACGCGAAAGCGUGGGGAGCGAACAGG